UACGGAGGGGGCUAGCGUUGUUCGGAAUUACUGGGCGUAAAGCGCACGUAGGCGGCCUUGUAAGUUAGAGGUGAAAGCCCGGAGCUCAACUCCGGAAUUGCCUUUAAGACUGCAGGGCUAGAAUCGUGGAGAGGUGAGUGGAAUUCCGAGUGUAGAGGUGAAAUUCGUAGAUAUUCGGAGGAACACCAGUGGCGAAGGCGACUCACUGGACACGUAUUGACGCUGAGGUGCGAAAGCGUGGGGAGCAAACAGG
rnacentral:rRNA from 1 species